ACAGUCACACAUUAGAUACCCGUGUAGUCCCAGCUGUAACUAUGUGCGUUAGGUGUGUCAGUGACCACGUGUCACUGAGGUGCCGAAGGGAAACCGUGAAACGCACCGCCUGGGAGUACGGUCGCAAGGCUGAAACUUAAAGGAAUUGGCGGGGAGCACCACAAGAGGUGGAGGCUGCGGUUCAAUUGGACUCAACGCCGGAAAACUCAUCGGGAGCGACAGCAGUAUGAUUGCCAGGUUGAUGACCUUGCUUGACAAGCUG
rnacentral:rRNA from 1 species